ACCCUGGAUACUCUAAGUGAAGGAGAUCCGCCUAUACAGAUCGUGCAGACUGCAGAGCUGCGCAUCUCACUGCGAGAAGAUGGAACAAGUGCUGGACUUACAAACCCAUAGAUAACGACAAUCCAUAGACGGUACGCCGCAGAUAAGGCUCCAGCCUCUUCGCGAACCAUUUCCAUCGAGCAACAUCAUCGCUGUAUUUUUGUCGACACAUCGUCAUCUGAAUGUUUGAAGGCACGAAUCAGUGCUGUCUCUGGAGAUUUCGCCCAGUAAGCCAACACAAACGUCCAAUUUUAAAGGAGGCACUUCGUCGCAAGCAUGGAUGCGUCGAUUCAAACUAGUAUGCAGGAAGAGAAGUCACCACGAUGGGAGCUCAUACGAAGAUGAAUGCAGUAGGCAAUAGAUGAAAGAAACGACCUUCAAGUGCGACGCUGCCUUGAGACGGCACCACACCUGAAGAAAUGGCUGCAUCCCGAUAGCAACGAAUCGGCUAUGCACAGAGCAGUGGAGAAUAACGCUUUCUAAAUUUAUGUUUUGCUUCUUUCGCACGCGUGCAUGUUCAGAAGUAAACGAGAGAAGCGAUGCUUAAAUGAUUUGAAUCCGCUUCAGCGACCAGAGCUUCAACGACAACGGUUCAUCGUUACGAAAUACGAGGGCUCUUACGUAGAAUACCUGAAAAACAGAACAGAUUGUCAAACGAAGCAUGUCGACUUCGAAACAAGUGUGGACCUCAUGUAUGACGCACUCGACAACAUUGAGUUGAUCCGACCUAUUCUACAAGGGCUGUACGCCGAAAUAAAUCUUUUAAAAUAAAACAUUAAAAAUUCCACGCUUAAAAUUCCACCCUUCGAAAUCCAUUUUCGGAAAUAAGCCGUUUAAAAAUACACGUCCUCAAAAUAAACGCUGUUAAAAUAAAUCAUGGUUGGGGUUAGGAAGGUAACUCCCCGUAUCAAAGUAGUGAUAUCCGUAUGGGCGACACGA